rnacentral:rRNA from 1 species
GACAGAGGCCCCAAGCGUUAGGCGGAAUCACUGGGCUUAAAGCGUGUGUAGGCGGAUCGUUAAGUGUCUUGUGAAAUCCCACGGCUCACCCGUGGAACUGCUUGGUAUACUGCUUUUCUUGAGCCACUUAGGGGCAACCGGAACAAACGGUGGAGCGGUGAAAUGCGUAGAUAUCGUUUGGAACGCCAAUGGUGAAAACAGGUUGCUGGGAGUGUGCUGACGCUGAGACACGAAAGCCAGGGGAGCAAACGGG